AUGUGGAGUGGAACCUUGGUCAGGAGGAUAGGCAGUUGGGAUGGAAUGGGAUUCCUGGCUAAGGAGUGACCUUUUAGCAUCGGCUGUAUCUGGUAAGACACCAAGUGUCUACCUUUCAAGGAACGAAUUCAACCUCUUUUUGAUUACCUUGUCAAGCCAAACGCCACCUGACCUUAAUCUGGACUACAGAGACCUGAAACUGACACCAGCCCCCUCAUACGAGGCAAGCCCUAUACAGCAACCACAGCAUCACAAGCAAAUCAGGUUAUGAUGCUGCUGAUUGACAUAUGAUACCCUGUAGGCGAUGUGGGAGAGAGAGGCCAUGACUGCAGGAGUAGAGUCCUUCAUGGAGGUCUGAGGAGGCUCUAAAAACACCACCACCGGAAAUUCUCCCAAGUCUGCAUCUCACGGCAAUGCAGACUUUUGCAGAGUGCGUCCAGGUAUAGCUGCACAGUGCACCCCAUCAGAUUAAGACCUGGCCUGCUCCUAGACCAUAGAUCUUGCCAGAUACAGUUCAUGCUCCAUUAUCCACUCUAAUGGAGGAAAGUUGGACAGCAUAAUUAAAAACAACGGGCAACCUUGAAAGGACCAGAAAUCCACGGGUAACAUACAGUCCUGCCUUGUGCCGUUGGAUGAUGUGGUGUCAGUCCGUAUGCUGAGCAGAGCACAAG